rnacentral:tRNA from 1 species
GCUUCUGUAGUGUAGUUCGGCCAAGCAUGCUAGGCUUUCACCCUGGUGACAACCGGGUUCGAAUCCCGGCAGAAGCA